rnacentral:rRNA from 1 species
AACGAACGCUGGCGGCAGGCCUAACACAUGCAAGUCGAGCGAGGACUUCGGUUCUAGCGGCGGACGGGUGAGUAACGCGUGGGAAUGUGCCCUUCUCUACGGAAUAGCCCUGGGAAACUGGUAGUAAUACCGUAUACGCCCUAUUGGGGAAAGAUUUAUCGGAGAAGGAUCAGCCCGCGUUGGAUUAGGUAGUUGGUGGGGUAAUGGCCUACCAAGCCGACGAUCCAUAGCUGGUUUGAGAGGAUGAUCAGCCACACUGGGACUGAGACACGGCCCAGACUCCUACGGGAGGCAGCAGUGGGGAAUCGUAGACAAUGGGGGCAACCCUGAUCUAGCCAUGCCGCGUGAGUGAUGAAGGCCUUAGGGUUGUAAAGCUCUUUCAGCUGGGAAGAUAAUGACGGUACCAGCAGAAGAAGCCCCGGCUAACUCCGUG